GGCCAUUAUAAGUUUUCUAAAUGUCAAUGGGAACCACUGGAAGUUUUUGUAUCUGCAUGCAUCCUCUGGUCAAGUGUCUGUGAUUGACCCAGCAGGAAAUCAGGAGUAGAAGUACUCUCUUCAUGCUGCAGCCAGAUUUAGACAAUACUUUAAGAUGAGAUUUAUGUGCCAUGGCAAAAAUGACUGGAGUGAUGUGAAGUGGCAAGAAGGUAUUAUAAAUCACACAACCCAGCAGGACUCUUACAGCUGUGGGGUAUUUGUCAUGCAGGUAUUUUGUUCUCAUAUUGUAAGUACAAUUUUCAAAUAGUGAAGACAAUAAAUAAAUUAAAUUCUAUUAUUUUGUAGAUGACCAAAGAGGUUAUCAAAGUGUUCCUUGAAAUUCCUUUCAAGCUAGACCCUUCUGUUUCCAAUAUGGAGCAAGUUCAAAGACAGAUGGCGGAGGAAAUCCUGACAGCAUCAGGUGGUUGAAAUCAAUGAACCAAAAACUGACAUCACAAAAUUCUUAUUGUUUUCUGUCAGCCUCUGUUACUAUUUUGAUAUCUGUAUACUUUUAGUGUUCAGAAUGAGUCAUUGCUGUGCACUCUGUGCUUCCGCAAAACACCCUGGAGGUGGUCCAACAACUGAUUGGGUAAGUAUUUUUCACUGGGUGAUGUGCUGUGUUGUGUCGUGGAUCUGAAGCCUCGCUGUUCACAAUAUCAGUCCAGUUGAAGAAACUGCGGUAAAAUUAGUUUCACAUUUGACAUUCAUUGGAUAUUCGGGUUCAUAUCCAUUAAAAUCCAAGAUCAUUUGCUGUAAAGAUGUCAAAUCAACUGCAAAUUACUCAGAAUAUUAUUCCCUCUAUUGCACAAGGCUUAUUUUUGUGAGUUUUCUUUGGUAAUUUUAUAUAGAAUCUUAUUAAUCUUUUAAACUCCAUGGCCAAAACACUUCUCCUUACACAGCACUAUCCUUUUUUUAGUAGUAUUUUGGUUUACUUUUAUAUAUGCCAGCAACAUGGGCUCCAGAUUCCAUUACUGUAGGGAUCGAGCAUUCAGGCCUGUACCAUUCUCUUGGUGUAUGCCACGCAUGCACUCGCCCACUUUCGAUAAUAUGGUGAAGGAUGACUCUUUAACCAUUCUGAGUAAAUUCUAGUGACUAAAUUCCUAAAUUCCUGAGUAAAAUCCCAGGAGAUCAGCAGUUACAGAUGGGCUCAAACCUGCCUGUCUGGCAUAAUAAUCAUCCAUGUGAUUGUCUAAUCAUCCCAUCAUGUGGCAGCAGUGCAAUGCAUAAAAUCUUGCAGAUACAGGUCUGGAGCUUAAGUUAAUGUUCACAUCAACCAUCAGAUUGGGGAAAAAAUGUGAUCUCAUUGAUUUCCACUGUGACCAUGAUUGUUGGUUUAUAUACAGUGAGGGGAUCUGGUGUUUCUGUUACGCUCUGGGGGCAAUUUUGCUGGCUUAUAUGAAACAUUUCAGUCAAGUGUUUCAAAACUUUUGACUGGUAGUGUGUGUGUGUAUGUAUAUUUAUAUAAUUCUGUAAUCAGCCAUUUGGGGCCACCCUAAAUUUCUAAACUAUAAUACCUUUCUGCUAAAUAGUAUGAUACUGUAAGGGGGUUCAGUGGAAAGGAGGAGGCGAGAACCGGCUUGACAACUUAAAUAAUAAUUUAAUAAACAACUUAAACACACAACCAAAAACCACACAGUACAGCUGCCUGCAAUUCUCUCUCUCUCGAACUGUCAUCCCGGGCCGCCUUUAUCCCUUGCGCGCCCCAUCAGGCUGAUUGGGGACCGAGUGUGUCUCAUUCCAGCCCAGCCCCGCCCUCCUCGGCUCUUCACUCCUCCCGGCGUUGCCUCAGGCCGGGGAGCCCCCGGCAUGACGUACAUCCCCCACCCUUCCUCUCAGUCAGACCUCC